UGAAAAACCUCAUCACCCAUUAUCUGCAGAAACUGUUCGUCCUCUAUGGAGAAGGCACGCUUGUCAUCAUCCGCUGUUCUUGCAAAGACUGUGUUGCCGAGUGAGUUGUCGUCCAUUGUAGUGCUACGGCAACUGUGUGAGAGUCCCUUGACUUGACUGGAGUUGACAGUUUGCUUGAGAUGGAUGUGGCUCGUACAAGGUCUGAACAAUGAUGGCCUUCCGUCUUCCAGUAUGUUCGUUCUAUAACAGUGGACAAUGGGCUUAUGAACCUUUCCCAAACACACAUCACCUACUAAGACCCAUCCAAGGUCAAGCCUUUCAGCAAAGGGUGCAUCACCAGGACCGUUGAUCUGCUGCCUCACCUUGUGAACCUGGAGAAUGUCUCUCCCAAGCAAAAGAAGGAUCUUGGCAUCAUUAUCAAGAGGUGGGAUUUUGCUGGCAAGGCUCUUGAGGUGCGGGUGAUGGAGGGCAGCUUCAGGUGUCUGUAUUUCAUCACGAUUAUCUGGUAAGUCAUCACAUUCGAUCAGUGUUGGUAGCGCAAGGCUAACUUCACCAUUUACUGCUUCGAUCUGAUAGCCAUUUGCUCUCCUGCCGGAGGUUGCGGCUAAGCCAGCACAAGUUUUCAGGAUGUAGGGGUAUGAGCCAACUUCUAUUCCGAAUAAGUUGAAGAACUCUGACCUGGCUAGAGACUUGUUGCUCUGGUCAUCGAGCAUAGCAUACAUUUUGAUGGCUUGUUGUGGGCAGUCUUUAGGAUAAACUUUAACAAGACAUAUCUUGGAACAAGAUUUUGACCUAGCGCCAUUGCCACAAACUUCAGUGCACAGAGCGCUUGCAACUGGUUCUGGGAUAGUGUCCUCUUUUCCCGGCUCCCCGCCGUCACCUGUUCGGGAACUUGAGGCCUUGGUUGACAGUUGUGGUGGACCAGGAUGAAGAGCUGUGAUGUGCUUGUCACUGUUGCACUCAUCACAUUUCAGGACAACUUUGCAGUCUCGUGCGAGAUGAGAUGUGGAUGCACAGCAUUUGAAACAGACGCCUUGAUCUUUCAAGUACGUUUUGCGUUCUUCAAUGGUCUUUAGCCUGAAACCACGGCAUUUCUUUAAGGGGUGGGGUUUUUUAUGGAUGGGGCAAUGCUUGGAUAUAUCCUCUCUGGAUCGCUUUGUGGGCCCUCAGAAACGACUUUGGUCGUAUGAACUGAGACUGGGGUUCUUAAAUUUGUGUGGCGUGAGAUAGGCGUUUCUGUGACAGGACUGCUUCCAGAAAGAGCAAAGCUGGGAUCGUUUCUUGUUUUAGCUUGAUAGCAGAUGAAGGAAGUGAAAAAUGAAAAGGGGGGAUAACCAACCUUGUAGUCCUCUUUGUAUUUUGAGCCUUGAGUGAUCCAUUUUUCUUGCAGGUUGUAUGGCAGUUUUUCCACGAUGGGUUUGAUGCUACGGGCGGUAUCCAGGUAUGCUAAGCCAGGCAAGUAGCCAUCCUCUUUUGCUGAAAGUAGUUCCAUCAAUAGAUCUCCAAGAUCCCUUAACCUGUAAUUGUCCUUGUUUGUUAUUUUAGGAAAGCUGUCCAACUUCCUAAAGAGAGCACUUUCGAUAACUUCUGGAGCACCGUAGCAUUCAUCGAGCCUGUCCCAGACCAUUUUGAGUGCAGUAUUUGGGUUGUCGAUAUGAACUGCUCUUAGGCGCUUGACAUACACAGAAGAUUCCUUCCCGAGCCAUUUUAAAAGUACUUCGCCAUGUCCAUCAUCACUGAAGACUCUGGAGGGUCCAUACUCAGCAUCCGUUGCCCAGUGUGUCCACUCUGUCUUCUCUGCACGUGCCCAAACCAUCUCAACUUUGCCUCUUUAACUUUAUCUUCAGAACACCUGUCUGAUACACUCAUUUCUAAUUUCCAGCUUGGCCUCCUGUCUUUUACUAGUGCCAUUGUCUCCAAAUCACACAUCACAGAAAGCUAUCAAAUGCUUCCCAUAAUUAAGCAAUGCUCUAACGAACAUGUGCC
ensembl:lncRNA